ACAUGGGGUAGCCUUUCUAGUAGGUUUUAGUCAACUCUAUUUUAUCAAGGCUAGCUCACUAAAGCAAAAAGCAACGGCAUCAAAACCGUUGCUUUUUGUCU
rnacentral:sRNA from 14 species